CCCUGGGUGGUAUAAAUGGUUAAUGCACUUGGUUGCUAACUAAAAGGUUGGUGGUUCAAGUCCACCCAGAGGCA
rfam:Loxodonta africana unplaced genomic scaffold scaffold_10, whole genome shotgun sequence.